rnacentral:rRNA from 1 species
UACGUAGGGGGCAAGUGUUGUCCGGAAUUAUUGGGCGUAAAGAGCGCGUAGGCGGUCCGAUAAGUCGGCUGUGAAAGUCAGGGGCUCAACCCUUGGAAGCCGGCCGAUACUGUCGGACUAGAGUCCGGAAGAGGCGAGUGGAAUUCCCGGUGUAGCGGUGAAAUGCGCAGAUAUCGGGAGGAACACCAAUGGCGAAGGCAGCUCGCUGGGACGGUACUGACGCUGAGGCGCGAAAGCGUGGGGAGCAAACAGG